UACGUAGGGGGCAAGCGUUGUCCGGAUUUACUGGGCGUAAAGAGCGUGUAGGCGGCCAAGCAGGUCCGUUGUGAAAACUGGAGGCUUAACCUUCAGACGUCGAUGGAAACCGUGCGGCUAGAGUCCGGAAGAGGAGAAUGGAAUUCCUGGUGUAGCGGUGAAAUGCGCAGAUAUCAGGAAGAACACCCGUGGCUAAGGCGGUUCUCUAGUACGGUACUGACGCUGAGACGCGAAAGCGUGGGGAGCGAACAGG
rnacentral:rRNA from 1 species